rnacentral:rRNA from 1 species
GAUGAACGCUGGCGGCGUGCUUAACACAUGCAAGUCGAACGAUGAAGCCCAGCUUGCUGGGUGGCUUAGUGGCGAACGGGUGAGUAACUCGUGAGUAACCUGCCCUUAAUUCUGGGAUAAGCCUGGGAAACUGGGUCUAAUCCCCGACAGGAGCGUACACCGCACGGUGGGUGUUGGAAAGAUUUAUCGGUUUUGGUUGGUCUCGCGGCCGUUCCCCUUGUUGGUCAGGUAUAGGCCACCCCAGGCGACGACGGGUAGUCGGCCGGGGAGUGUGAUCGGCUACACUGGGAGUGGGAUUGGGACCAUGCGCCUACGGGUGGCAGCGGUGGUGAAAAUUCCACAAUGGGGGCAGGCCUUAUGAAGCGUAGCGGCGUGAGGAAAGACGCCCUUCGGGUUGUAAACCUCUUUCCGUAGGGAAGAGGCGAAAGUGACGGUACCUGCAGAAGAAGCACCGGCUAACAACUU